GCAAACUUGGUCAUUUAGAGGAAGUAAAAGUCGUAACAAGGUUUCCGUAGGUGAACCUGCGGAAGGAUCAUUAACGCGCCGUGGAGAUCAACCUUUAAACGGGUAUGACCUUCCACCUGGCCACCCUUGUUUAUCGUUAUCCUGUUGCUUUGGUGGGCCCGCUGUAAGGCCGCUGGAGAAUUUGAACGUUUUCUGGCCCGUGCCUACCAAAGUCCUAUUGAACUCUUUGUUGUCUUUUUGCUGUCUGAGCAUUAAAAAAGCAAAUUUUUAAAACUUUCAACAACGGAUCUCUUGGUUCUGGCAUCGAUGAAGAACGCAGC
rnacentral:misc_RNA from 1 species